rnacentral:rRNA from 1 species
CCUACGGGAGGCAGCAGUGGGGAAUAUUGGACAAUGGGCGCAAGCCUGAUCCAGCAAUGCCGCGUGGGUGAAGACGGCCUGCGGGUUGUAAAGCCCUUUGGGUGGGGAAGAACGGUGGUUUGCGAACAGCGGACUGCUCUGACAUUACCCACGGAACAAGCACCGGCUAACUCCGUGCCAGCAGCCGCGGUAAUACGGAGGGUGCGAGCGUUAAUCGGAAUUACUGGGCGUAAAGCGUGCGUAGGCGGAAGGGUCAGUCAGCCGUGAAAGCCCCGGGCUCAACCUGGGAACGGCGGUUGAGACGGCCCGUCUCGAGUGGGCUAGAGGACUGUGGAACUCCCGGUGUAGCGGUGAAAUGCGUAGAGAUCGGGAAGAACACCGAUGGCGAAGGCAGCGGUCUGGGGCCACACUGACGCUGAGGCACGAAAGCGUGGGGAGCAAACAGGAUUAGAUACCCUGGUAGUCCACGCCGUAAACGAUGAGUGCUAAGUGUUAGAGGGUUUCCACCCUUUAGUGCUGCAGCUAACGCAUUAAGCACUCCGCCUGGGGAGUACGGCCGCAAGGCUGAAACUCAAAGGAAUUGACGG